AAGUCGUAACAAGGUUUCCGUAGGUGAACCUGCGGAAGGAUCAUUAACACGAAUUAUUUUAUUAUCCAAUAUCAAAAACCAAACGUGAACCUUUUUCCUCCCUAUAUAUAUCAUAUAUCUCUAUGUGCUAUAUGUAGGCUAACCUCAACUAUAUAAAUUUUAACACUAUAAACUUCAACUAGUUUUAAUUUAGCUAUUAAAACAUCUAAACUAAAAAAGACAAGGUUAUUCGAAAGAGUAAACUUUAACUUUUUUCGAUUUACGAAAAAUUUAAAAGAACAACUCUUAACAAUGGAUAUC
rnacentral:misc_RNA from 1 species